rnacentral:misc_RNA from 1 species
GAUGAAGAACGUAGCGAAAUGCGAUAAGUAAUGUGAAUUGCAGAAUUCAGUGAAUCAUCGAAUCUUUGAACGCACCUUGCGCCCUUUGGCCAUUCCGAAGGGCAUGCCUGUUUGAGUAUCAUGAACACCUCAACUCUCAUGGCUCGCCAUGAUGAGCUUGGAUUUGGGGGUCUUGCUGGCCUGUGGUCGGCUCCUCUCAAAUGGAUCAGCUUGCCAGUGUUUGGUGGCAUCACAGGUGUGAUAACUAUCUGCGCUUGUGGUUUUCCAUCAGAUAACCUUCAGUGAUGGAGGUUCGCUGGAGCUCAUAAACGUCUCCCCUAAGCGGGGACAGCCCUUUGAAUGUUUGAUCUCAAAUCAGGUAGGACUACCCGCUGAACUUAAGCAUAUCAAUAAGCGGAGGA